rnacentral:rRNA from 1 species
ACCGAUGUUCUCUCUGCCGUAGCUAACGCAUUAAGUGCCCCGCCUGGGGAGUACGGCCGCAAGGCUAAAAACUCAAAAGAAUUGACGGGGGCUCGCACAAGCGGUGGAGCAUGUGGUUUAAUUCGAUGCAACGCGAAGAACCUUACCGGGGCUUGACAUGGUAGAAGUAGGAACCCGAAAGGGCAACGAACGGUAUCCAGUCCGUAACUAUCACAGGUGUUGCAUGGCUGUCGUCAGCUCGUGACGUGAGACGUUGGGUUAA